GAGCAGCGAGCUAGCUGUGUAAGAAGAAGAGGAGGACUGGAGGAGGAAGAAGACUAUCGAUCGAUCGAUCCAUCCAUCCAUCGAAUUAAUGGCGGCGACAACACCGUACAAGCCCAAGAGGAUCCUGAUCACGGGCGCCGCGGGGUUCAUCGCGUCCCACGUGGCGAUCCGCAUCGUGAACAGGUACCCUGAGUACAAGGUGGUGGUGCUGGACAAGCUUGACUACUGCUCCAACCUCAAGAACCUCCUCCCCGUCAUGGGCUCCGGCGGCAACAACUUCAAGUUCGUCAAGGGCGACAUCGCCAGCGCCGACCUCGUCAGCUUCAUCCUGGCCACCGAGGGCAUCGACACCGUGAUGCACUUCGCGGCGCAGACCCACGUGGACAACUCCUUCGGCAACUCCUUGGAGUUCACCAAGAACAACAUCUACGGCACCCACGUCCUCCUCGAGUCCUGCCGCACCGCCGCCCAGAUCCGCCGCUUCAUCCACGUCAGCACCGACGAGGUGUACGGCGAGACUGACGGCGACGCCGUGGUGGGCAACCACGAGGCGUCGCAGCUGCUGCCCACCAACCCGUACGCGGCCACCAAGGCCGGGGCCGAGAUGCUGGUGAUGGCGUACGGCCGGAGCUACGGCCUCCCCGUCAUCACCACGCGCGGGAACAACGUGUACGGGCCCAACCAGUUCCCGGAGAAGCUCAUCCCCAAGUUCAUGCUGCUGGCCAUGAGGGGCCAGCGCCUGCCCAUCCACGGCGACGGCUCCAACGUCCGCAGCUACCUCUACUGCGACGACGUGGCCGAGGCGUUCGAGGUCGUCCUCCACCGCGGCGAGGUGGGCCACGUCUACAACAUCGGCACCAAGAAGGAGCGCACGGUGAUGGACGUGGCCAGGGACAUCAGCGGCCUCUUCGGCCUGCGCCCGGAGGAGGCCAUCCAGUUCGUCGACAACAGGCCCUUCAACGACCAGAGGUACUUCCUCGACGACGAGAAGCUCAAGGGGCUCGGCUGGCGCGAGAGGACGCGCUGGGAGGAUGGCCUCAGGAAGACCAUGGAGUGGUACGUGGCCAACCCCGACUACUGGGGGGACGUGUCCGGGGCGCUGCUGCCGCAUCCCAAGGCGGGAGGCGUCAGCGUCAGCGUCACGACGGACCACGGCGCCCGGGGAUCGUCGGAGAUGCUCGACGAUCGUUUCAUUUCCAUCCCCUCUUCUCCGGGAGCGGCGACGGUUGCAGGAGACGACGAUGACGGCGCACCAGCUGCAAUGCCGUACAGCAAUGGCGGCGCCACCAAUGGAACCACCACCGUGCAUUGAUUGCAUGCCUGCCUGCCUGGGUCGUCGUUUCGUCAUAUCACAUCACAUCCACACCUGAACAAUUAUAAUUGUUUUUUCAAGCUAUAUAUUGUAUUAUUUGCUACUACUACUAGAUCGAGUAUUAUUGUUAUGUAGUAUGUUGUUUGAGUCCGCACGUGCCGUUGUAUUCCGCUGUUUUGUUGGAUCCACACAUCACCUCCCGUUGGAUUAAAAUGAGUAUUUAAACUGUAAGGACAAAUUUAUUAUUUUAAAAUAGAUAUCUAUGAAAUUUGUUGUUGACCUUUUCUUAGGUUAUCCAACACAUUAUUAUAAAUAAGAAUACAAUUUUAAAUAAAUUAUGU
rnacentral:lncRNA from 1 species